UUUGGUGGCGAUAGCGAAGAGGUCACACCCGUUCCCAUGCCGAACACGGAAGUUAAGCUCUUCAGCGCCGAUGGUAGUCGGGGGUUUCCCC
rnacentral:rRNA from 1 species